AGCGAACGCUGGCGGCAGGCUUAACACAUGCAAGUCGAACGCCCGUAGCAAUACGGGAGUGGCAGACGGGUGAGUAACGCGUGGGAACAUGCCCUUUGGUUCGGAAUAACUCAGGGAAACUUGAGCUAAUACCGGAUAAGCCCGAGAGGGGAAAGAUUUAUCGCCGAAGGAUUGGCCCGCGUCCGAUUAGCUAGUUGGUGAGGUAAUGGCUCACCAAGGCGACGAUCGGUAGCUGGUCUGAGAGGAUGAUCAGCCACACUGGGACUGAGACACGGCCCAGACUCCUGCGGGAGGCAGCAGUGGGGAAUAUUGGACAAUGGGGGCAACCCUGAUCCAGCCAUGCCGCGUGAGUGAUGAAGGCCCUAGGGUUGUAAAGCUCUUUCGGCGGGGACGAUAAUGACGGUACCCGCAGAAGAAGCCCCGGCUAACUUCGUGCCAGCCGCCGCGGUAA
rnacentral:rRNA from 1 species